UUGCGUAGGUGGCAUAGUAAGCCGGUAGUGAAAGCGUGUGGCUCAACCAUACUCAUAUUAUCCGAACUGCUAAGCUAGAGGGCGAGAGAGGUUACUGGAAUUCCCAGUGUAGGAGUGAAAUCCGCAGAUAUUGGGAGGAACACCGAUGGCGUAGGCAGGUAACUGGCUCGUCCCUGACACUAAGGCACGAAAGCGUGGGGAGCAAACG
rnacentral:rRNA from 1 species